UAAAGUCUGCCCAGGAGGGUGAGAACUCAUGGAGAUAGAGUAUGACAGAGACACGCUUCCUGAAAAUCUCUCAGAUGAUUUUUUCUUUUCCAGACCUCGGAAAUCAACAAAUUUUAAGUUAGAGGAGCAACCUGGGAGUGUGAUAUUCAAAUCCCUGCUACAGGCCAUCCCGCCAUUCGGUUGGAAAUUUGGUCAUGCUUAUCAAUGCCCAGAAAUACCAACUGUGGAGGACAGUGAAGUCGUCAGGCUGCUGCCUGACAUACUGCACAAUGACUACGUCUAGAAUUAAGAAGAUCCAAAGUCAUUUCACACAAGCUGUUCAAGGAAAUAGAAGAGCCUAGUUUUCAGUGGACUGCAAAACAAAAGCUAGAGUUAAAGAACAAGAACCCUUCGACUUACUAGUUUCUGAUAACAGAAAAAAAAUCCAACAGCUUUAACUGAAGCUUUAGCAGAAACAGGGACAGUACCUAGACAAAUCAUAAACCACUGAAGUCAAAAAGGAGAGAAGGGAUGUGAACUUAUUGUUCUUGAGGAAUCUGUGAAUUGGCUAGGCCUGCCAAAUUUUAAAAAAUAAAUUAUUUUAUUGUUUUA